rnacentral:lncRNA from 1 species
UUAUUUGUUUGAAAUAAGAGGUAAGGCUAACAUAUAACUUCUCGUGAGGUUCAUGUAAGGUUAAUCUUUGAUCAUGCUUAUAACCAUGGGAUAAGAGAGUACAUAAGAAAAUGGAGUAGGACAUCAUGGUGCUUGGUUGGCAUGAAUGGGGAUGCUUGUAGAAAUGGGCGAAGGAAUGUUGUUUAUAAUAAAUAGAAUCAUAGGUUAC